CAGUUUGUGGCUUGCAUCAUAAGCAAGAAACCAUUAAGGUGCUAUUAAGAGUCUUUUGUCACACAAUAGCACUCCCAUUGAGAGUCAUUACCAGCACUAUAUAUAUGCAAAUAAAGUGGUUUUUCUAGUUUACGCUAGAGGAAGAAAAGGAAAAAAGCACUGUUGCUAGGCAGACUCCAGGAGGCAACAGAGCCUGCAGUUCAGAAGAUAAACACCGGAGGGCACCCCAACACAAGAAAACAGGAAUCAUGACUUCUAAGGCAAAAAUUGAGGCCGAAGAGCAAUUCAAAGAAGCUGAACACAGGCGACAAAUGGAGAUGAAAGAAAGAGAAGAACAAAUCAAACAGGCAGCACACAAAAGAAAACUAGAAGAAGAAGAGUUGGCCCACAGAAGGAAGCAAGAAGAAGAAGAGUUGGCCCACCGCCGAGAAAUGGAAAAACAACAAAAAAAAAUGAAGA